rfam:Myotis lucifugus cont2.1536, whole genome shotgun sequence.
GGCCAGGUAGCUCAGUUGGUUAGAGCAUUGUUCUGAUAUGUCGAGGUUGCAGGUUCAAUCCCUGGUCAGGGCA